rnacentral:ncRNA from 1 species
GGGGAUCUUCGGAGCCCUAUAACCCCCGGGCGACGCAUUCGGCCGCGCCCGCAAGCAGACGGAAGACAGAAA